GACGAACGCUGGCGGCGUGCUUUACACAUGCAAGUCGAACGGUCCUUGUAUUUUGAAUUUUUCGGAAUGACGAAUACUCUGGAUAGUGGCGGACGGGUGAGUAACGCGUGGGUAACCUGCCCAUUACAUUGGGACAACAACUGGAAACGGUUGCUAAUACCAAAUAAAAUCAAAGAAUGGCAUCAUUCUUUGAUCAAAGGAGGCCUCUUCUUGAAAGCUCCCGGUAAUGGAUGGACCCGCGUCUGAUUAGUUAGUUGGUGAGGUAACGGCUCACCAAGACGACGAUCAGUAGCCGGCCUGAGAGGGUGGCCGGCCACACUGGGACUGAGAUACGGCCCAGACUCCUACGGGAGGCAGCAGUGGGGAAUCUUCCGCAAUGGACGAAAGUCUGACGGAGCAACGCCGCGUGAAUGAAGAAGGCCUUCGGGUCGUAAAGUUCUGUCUUUAGGGAAGAAUGCCUAUAUGGUCAAUAGCCAUAUAGAGUGACGGUACCUUAGGAGGAAGCUCCGGCUAACUACGUGCCAGCAGCCGCGGUAAUACGUAGGGAGCAAGCGUUGUCCGGAAUCACUGGGCGUAAAGGGCUCGUAGGCGGAUAUUUAAGUCAGAUGUGAAAACUCCAGGCUCAACUUGGAGACUGCAUUAGAAACUGGAUAUCUUGAGGGCAGGAGAGGAAAGUGGAAUUCCUAGUGUAGCGGUGGAAUGCGUAGAUAUUAGGAGGAACACCAGUGGCGAAGGCGACUUUCUGGACUGUACCUGACGCUGAGGAGCGAAAGCAUGGGGAGCGAACAGGAUUAGAUACCCUGGUAGUCCAUGCCGUAAACGAUGAAUACUAGGUGUAGGAGGUAUCGACCCCUUCUGUGCCGCAGCUAACGCAAUAAGUAUUCCGCCUGGGGAGUACGAUCGCAAGAUUGAAACUCAAAGGAAUUGACGGGGACCCGCACAAGCGGUGGAGCAUGUGGUUUAAUUCGACGCAACGCGAAGAACCUUACCAGGACUUGACAUCCCGGGACCACUAUGGAAACAUAGUUUUCGAGCCUUCGGGCUUGACUCGGUGACAGGUGGUGCAUGGUUGUCGUCAGCUCGUGUCGUGAGAUGUUGGGUUAAGUCCCGCAACGAGCGCAACCCCUACUUUUAGUUGCCAGCACGUAAUGGUGGGAACUCUAGAGGAACUGCCGGUGACAAACCGGAGGAAGGUGGGGAUGACGUCAAAUCAUCAUGCCCUUUAUGUCCUGGGCUACACACGUGCUACAAUGGCCGAUACAGAGGGCUGCGAAGGAGCGAUCUGGAGCUAAUCUCAAAAAGUCGGUCUCAGUUCGGAUUGCAGGCUGCAACUCGCCUGCAUGAAGUCGGAAUCGCUAGUAAUCGCGAGUCAGCAUAUCGCGGUGAAUACGUUCCCGGGUCU
rnacentral:rRNA from 1 species